AUCGCCCUUAUUGGAUGCAAGCCAUGGGAUAGAUAAACAACCCACAAAAACACAGAACUGAGGCCUUGAUAUGCGGGACAGAAGGUCGGGGCACAGCUGGAGCACCAAAGCAGGAGAGCACGCUUAUCUAUGUUUAUACCAUAUAUGGAGCUAGUGUGAUAGAACACAUCCAGAGGUGGAGAGAAGGGAAAAAUACUAGCUCAGGAGGCAGACUAUAUUAAGGCUGCUUUUUUGUGAAUAAAUGACUUUGGCUUUGCUUGUGCAUGAAUACGGAGUCCGUGUCAUGAAUCGCCACAAAUGGUGCCCUGUGUGAGGAGCGAUGAAUCGACCUAAGAAGGUGAACCGGUGGUGAGCCCCACAGGACUGAAGUGCUGCUGAAAGGAAGCAGGAGCCGGCUGCAAUCCCUCAUUGACUGAGAUGUGUGCAGAUGACCUCCAGGAUGAACUGCUCAAUCACCUUUCUGGGGAUGGAGGGGCGGGGGGAGUGAGCAAGCGGCUGCAUGGUGUUUAUUUGUCAACUGAGGCUGAAGCACGACACAUUCAAAUGCCUUUUUUAACUCAUCUUUGAUAUCUGCAAAAGCUCAAUGCAUCUUUUAAAUAUCUAUUGUUUCUGAUAAUAAUCAGCUAUCAACAUUUUUAAAGGGAUACAGUUAGCUUCUUAGCAAGGAUCAGCCUCUCACACCUUCAAAACAAAUGCAGAAUGAGAUUAUUAUUAUUAUUAUGAUCGUAUAUCACAGUCAGAAAUUAUUCAUAACAGCUUUUAUAGUCAUGAUACAUCUAGUAGGGUUUGAAUGUCUACUUGAAAGAAAAUGAAACCAGAUGUUGCAGAACUGAUGUUGCAGAACUGACAUUGCAGAAUCAGCGCAGAUUAUAUGUAUUUAUAGAUUAUAUAGUCUAGGUAUUUCUUAAUAAGUAUUUGUAUAAGAAAUAGAUUUUUAUGGCUGAUUUCCAUCUUGGACUUCCAUUCAGAAGUACCAGAACAACAUGGAAAAGCUAUUUCUACAAUUUCUGUUAGGAAUAAUGCUGGUCUUUACCUCCUUCUUGCUCAUUUUCAUUGGCUGGAUUUAUUAUGUUUAAGAGCAUGAUCUUUCAUUUUAAUGUUUUACAGUAAUAUGUGAAUAUAGAUAAUGUUGAGAAAUUUUAAUUAGUACCAGAAUUUCAGCAAGGGUCUUGUAUAUAAACCUUAGAUUUCAUAUAUUUGCAAUAAACAUGAAAGCUUUAAAAUUUUGCUUUAUCUUUUAGCUACAAAAAGAGGUAUCUGACAGGUACAAAAUAUGAUGAUUACUUUUCUGUUUCACUUGUGUCUCACCUGGGGUAGCAAAGGGGGAAUAGUUAUGUUCCUUCAUUGUGUGAAGCAGGAGUGAGACUUCUGAGAAUGUUCUGGGAGGGCUCAAAGUUUCCUCCCUCAUCUCUGGCACUUCAUCUUGUCCCCACUUCAGCCUUUCCCCCCCCCAGAGCAGUCUCACCCUCUCCUAACAGCUGUAUUUCAAAGCAGCCAGUGAGAAUUUUUUCAAGGCAUGUCUUAGCCUUGCCUGGCACCUAGCUAGCAAAUAACCCACUCUUUCCUUGAAAUGUUAUUAUUGCUCCUGCUUUUAUUAUUCACAUACUUUACUGUGCUAGGUGUUUACAAACAUGUUACAAACAUGGUCACUUCUCCCAAGUUACUAGCGACAGGACGAGAGGAAAUGGCCUCAAGCUGUGUCAGAGGAGGUUUAGAUUGGAUAUUGGGAAAAAUUUCUUCACCGAAAGUAUUGUCAAGCAUUGGAACAGGCUGCCCAGGGAGGUGUUUGAGUCACCAUCCCUGGAGGUGUUAAAAAAAAAGUUGUAUACGUGGCACUUCAGGGCAUGGUUUAGGAGGCAUGGUGAUGUUGGGUUGAUGGUUGGACUUGAUGAUCCUAAGGUCUUUUCCAAACUUAAUGAUUCUAUGUUAAAAAAAAUAUAUCCAAAAGUACUACCUCUUUUUAUAUCAUUCCCCUGUGCUCAGCUGCUCUACUUUCCUUAGUGCCUAAAAUGCUCUCAUGUAGGGCCUGCAGAGACAUCUGAUGUGAGAGCACAAGAAAAUA